rnacentral:misc_RNA from 1 species
CACUGAUCCAUCCUCUUCGACCUAAACAAAUUUAUAAAAUUUAAUUUCAAAGGAUCAGUUUUCUUGGCAAAAACUACUCCAGAAGAAGAAACCACAAUUGUUAACUAGUUAAUGAGGUACUCAGAACAUAAUAUGAUUUGUAUAGAAAAGAGGUAGAUUAAAAUUGCCAAGCUGCAAGCACAGUGAAAUCAAAUACAAGUUUAUAAGUACAACAAUGUUCUAUAUGAUUUGUACAGAUAAGAGGCACUUUGAAUUAAGAUCCAAUGUUAAACCAUACCCAGUACUCAGGAG